rnacentral:tRNA from 1 species
GCCAGCAUAGCUCAGUAGGUAGAGCGCCUGCCUUGUAAGCAGGAUGCCGUGGGUUCAAUUCCUGCUGCUGGCACCA